rnacentral:lncRNA from 1 species
GCUGCUCCUCAACCAACUGGACAGGUGCUUGGUGCCAGCACUGCCUUCCCUAGCAGGAAGGGUCAACAGUGACGACUAUUGGGGACACCAAACCUGCCGUAACAGGGAACCUGAUCUGACCUGAAGGGCAGCUCCUCAAUGUCGUGCCAAUGUCCUUUUUAUCAUCGACCGGCUUCAAUGUCCUUUUUUAAAUAUAUAUAUAUAUUUUUAGUUAUAGAUGACACAAUACCUUUAUUUUAUUAAUUUUUAAAAUGUGGUUCUGAGGACCGAACCCAGUGCCUCAUCCACAUGAAGCAAGUGCUCUGCCACUGUACCAUAACCCCAGCCCUUCAGUGUCCUUUUAUGACCUCAAAUAUUUGAGUUUCUUGCUCCUCCUUCCUAGUCCCAGUAUAGACAUUGACUAGUGUAUGCUAUGAGGGCAGGGUUUGUUAAAAUCUUGAGCUAGUCUAUACUGGUCAAAAGACAGGAGCCCUAAGUCUGUAAGUGUCCACUGCUGCUGGACAUCUCAUCAGAGCCUGUCUGUCAGGCUGGCUUAUGUCUGUCCCACACUGAUGUUCAAUAAAUUGUAAACUUCUGCCCAUUCCUGGUGUUUCUUUCCUUUCCUUUCAUCCAGUGAUCUUUAAUUUCCUAUUUAUUAAUGCCAAACUCUAUUUUGGGACACCCCAUUAAUCCCAUGCUCCCCUCAACUUGUAGGCCAGGACUCCUUUCAUUCAGAGCCUUGUGCCUUGCUCUUCACUGUGCCUACACUGACACUGACAGCCCUGCCUUCCCUUGUCCCUGUCCCAUGGUCAGAUGCACUCCAUUCCUGCUGAAGAGUCAGAUGUGGAAUGGUGCCAAGGAUUGAAGGUGGGGGACUUGAAGUGCCUGCCACUUACACCACGGCCCAGUUCCCACAGGCUUUUGAAAAUCAGUGGAUGAGUGACAUUGAGUUCCUUGAUGUCUCUCUUCAGCCUGCUCAAGGAUGAAGACUGACCUCUUUAUUCCCUGCCUGCUAAUCAGUUUACCAAAAAGUAUCAACUAGGACUCACUGUCCCCAGAGAGUUCUGCUUUCAGACUGGUGGCAGCUCUUUCUUCUCUUCCUUUCCCUUUUCGUCUCCAAAAUGAAUCAUGUGUUUGCCUUUGUUCUUUGGAAACACUUAAAGACUGUUCUCCCUCAUUGGAGAACACAUUUGUGUGCAAAUAACUAAGAAAAGUUCUCAGUUAUUC